rnacentral:rRNA from 1 species
GUAACAAGGUUUCCGUAGGUGANCCUGCGGAAGGAUCAUUG